GCAGUCGAGCGGAACGAUGGGAGCUUGCUCCCAGGCGUCGAGCGGCGGACGGGUGAGUAACACUUAGGAAUCUACCUAGUAGUGGGGGAUAGCUCGGGGAAACUCGAAUUAAUACCGCAUACGACCUACGGGAGAAAGGGGGCAGUUUACUGCUCUCGCUAUUAGAUGAGCCUAAGUCGGAUUAGCUAGAUGGUGGGGUAAAGGCCUACCAUGGCGACGAUCUGUAGCUGGUCUGAGAGGAUGAUCAGCCACACCGGGACUGAGACACGGCCCGGACUCCUACGGGAGGCAGCAGUGGGGAAUAUUGGACAAUGGGGGAAACCCUGAUCCAGCCAUGCCGCGUGUGUGAAGAAGGCCUUUUGGUUGUAAAGCACUUUAAGCAGUGAAGAAGACCUUAUGGUUAAUACCCGUNNGCGAUGACAUUAGCUGCAGAAUAAGCACCGGCUAACUCUGUGCCAGCAGCCGCGGUAAUACAGAGGGUGCAAGCGUUAAUCGGAAUUACUGGGCGUAAAGCGAGCGUAGGUGGCUUGAUAAGUCAGAUGUGAAAUCCCCGGGCUUAACCUGGGAACUGCAUCUGAUACUGUUAAGCUAGAGUAGGUGAGAGGGAAGUAGAAUUCCAGGUGUAGCGGUGAAAUGCGUAGAGAUCUGGAGGAAUACCGAUGGCGAAGGCAGCUUCCUGGCAUCAUACUGACACUGAGGCUCGAAAGCGUGGGUAGCAAACAGGAUUAGAUACCCUGGUAGUCCACGCCGUAAACGAUGUCUACUAGUCGUUGGGUCCCUUGAGGACUUAGUGACGCAGCUAACGCAAUAAGUAGACCGCCUGGGGAGUACGGCCGCAAGGUUAAAACUCAAAUGAAUUGACGGGGGCCCGCACAAGCGGUGGAGCAUGUGGUUUAAUUCGAUGCAACGCGAA
rnacentral:rRNA from 1 species